GAUGAAGAACGUAGCGAAAUGCGAUAAAUAAUAUGAAUUGCAGAAUUCAGCGAAUCAUCGAGUUUUUGAACGCACAUUGCGCCCUCUGGUAUUCCGGAGGGCAUGUCCGACCGAGCGUCGCAUCACCCCUCGGCUCUGUCUUUCUCAGGAGAGAUAACCCGGCGUUGGGGCUUCCCGCGGAUGUCCGCGGGAGCCCUCAAAUGCAGUGGCGGCCUCCUCUGAAGAAUCUCCCAGCGCAGUAACCCUACUCGCUUCGAGCUCCGGAGAGUGCCCUGCCGUAAAACACCCCCAACUUUUCUUAGGUUGGCCUCGGGUCGGACAAGAUUACCCGCUGAACUUAAGCAUAUCAAUAAGCGGAGGA
rnacentral:misc_RNA from 1 species